rnacentral:rRNA from 1 species
UACGUAGGGGGCAAGCGUUGUCCGGAUUCAUUGGGCGUAAAGAGCGUGUAGGCGGCCAGAUAGGUCAGCUGUGAAGACUCGGGGCUCAACCCUGAGACGUCGGUUGAAACCAUCUGGCUAGAGUCCGGAAGAGGAGUGUGGAAUUCCCGGUGUAGCGGUGAAAUGCGCAGAUAUCGGGAAGAACACCCGUGGCCAAGGCGGCACUCUGGGACGGUACUGACGCUGAGACGCGAAAGCGUGGGGAGCGAACAGG